UUAAUGAAAAUAUAAUUCAAUGUUUUUCUUUUAUAAGUAAGACCUUUGUUUGAUCGAUUUUUGCGUGAUAUUUUGUAGACACCCACUUCGUCAAACCUCGAUCCUCUUCAACCAAAUUUCCAAUGCAAUCAAUAUUCUGCAACAUCACAAGUUAAAAAUAAAUUUAAAAAAAAAACAUUAAUGAACAAAUUAAAGAGGUUUUGUUUUCAAGGAAAAAGAGUUAGACCAUAUACUACGUAAAUUAAAUUGGCCUGAAUCAGUCUUUGCUCGUGUGCGUGCAUCUGCGCAACAAAAGUGUUGUAGUCAACGAAAUGUAACACAUGUUUCUGGAAGAAAUAGUAGUUUAUUUUUUUAAAAAGAAAAAAAAAAUCAGUUGAUCAUAUGUACUUGGGAAAAUAAUUAAGUUUGGGGGGUGUGUGAUUGAUGUUCUCAGUGAUAUAAGUUGAAUUGUUUUGUUCUGUAGGAUUCUUGGCAAUAGAAAAUCUGCUGCUAAAUCAAAGAAGAGGAGAGUGCUUUAUUAAAAAGAGUUGCAAGUAAAGGUCCAGCAGCUAGCGAUUCAAUCAGCUAACCUGGAUAAUAGUAUUAGCUUUCUUCAGCUGCCGCUGCAAAGAUAAAGGAAGAACUUCGAAGCCUCCUUAGGAAUAAAUAUGAUCAUGUUGGUGUUAUGUCGAGUUAUGGUUCUGUCGACGAGUUGUCCUCUCAGUUUUCUUCAUAGUUGGCUCUACAACAGUUUCAUAACCCUCCGUCUCAUGAUCAGCAACAUCUUGACCCUCAGCAAGCACAGCUCUCCAUGCCUAAUCCUCUUCCUUCCUCUAGUACUCAGAGUUUUGGUGGGGAAUAUGGCCUUAAUAACUUCUCCAACUUCAGUCAGCUAAACUAGUUCAUUAUAGCAGCAGCAAACGAUAUCACAAGUAUCAUCUUGUGUAUGUAUUUGUAAUGGCCGAGAUUUGUGAAGUUGGUACUUUGUUGUUAUUAUGCUUUACUGUUUUAGGCUAGCCAGAUAGCUUAUUCUUGUGCGUUUCCUACAUUAAUUUUUAGGUUAAAACCAGAACUCGUUCUUUAUUUUCUUCAUUUAUGUGGUGAAAACAGUUGAACAUCAAGAUGUUGAAGGAUAAAUAGGUGAUGGGUGAUGAAUGAAAGUAUUCUGAGUUAUGGC